rnacentral:lncRNA from 1 species
UAAAAAACUCCUGGGGGAUUGGCCAUAUAAUUUAAAAAGGGAUUGUAAUGGUCCACAAAACCAAUGGACCACCUUCUUCGCUAUUUGCAUCAAUAUUUGUCCAAAUAAAAAGAAGAACAUGAGGAACAAGAAGCAUUAAGCAACUCUGAAUUACUGUAUCAGAAGAUAACAAAAUAACAUUGAGUGCAAGACCAUCAUAUCGUGCAAUUUAACAUUAAAAAUGUUCAAAUAACUAAAUGCUUCCUGAGCGUGUAAAAUCUACCUAUAGCCUGUUAGUCACUGUCUCGUUCAAAAUUGCUACUCCACUCGAAAUCUUCUCAGGUUGUACAUAAAAUGCUAAGUACAUUCGAUUUCUCAUUUCUGCCGGCAAAAGGAAAUAAAUUGCAUCUAGAAGCUUCAGGUGUCAGAUCAGAAGACAAGCUUGUGACCUCAUAAGCUUAUCCAAGAUCCUCUCCUUGGAAAACAAAGAAGCCACCGUGAUAAAAUCAGAGGAUACUUGUUCUUGCUAUUGAG